AGUGAACGCUGGCGGUAGGCCUAACACAUGCAAGUCGAACGGCAGCACAGUAAGAGCUUGCUCUUACGGGUGGCGAGUGGCGGACGGGUGAGGAAUACAUCGGAAUCUACUUUUUCGUGGGGGAUAACGUAGGGAAACUUACGCUAAUACCGCAUACGACCUACGGGUGAAAGCAGGGGAUCUUCGGACCUUGCGCGAUUGAAUGAGCCGAUGUCGGAUUAGCUAGUUGGCGGGGUAAAGGCCCACCAAGGCGACGAUCCGUAGCUGGUCUGAGAGGAUGAUCAGCCACACUGGAACUCAGACACGGUCCAGACUCCUACGGGAGGCAGCAGUGGGGAAUAUUGGACAAUGGGCGCAAGCCUGAUCCAGCCAUACCGCGUGGGUGAAGAAGGCCUUCGGGUUGUAAAGCCCUUUUGUUGGGAAAGAAAAGCAGCAGGUUAAUACCCCGCUGUUCUGACGGUACCCAAAGAAUAAGCACCGGCUAACUUCGU
rnacentral:rRNA from 1 species